rnacentral:rRNA from 1 species
GGGGACAACAUCUCGAAAGGGAUGCUAAUACCGCAUACGUCCUACGGGAGAAAGCAGGGGACCUUCGGGCCUUGCGCUAAUAGAUGAGCCUAAGUCGGAUUAGCUAGUUGGUGGGGUAAAUGCCUACCAAGGCGACGAUCUGUAGCGGGUCUGAGAGGAUGAUCCGCCACACUGGGACUGAGACACGGCCCAG